CAAUUUUUGGGGGGCCCUUUACACAGCUCAAGGUCUGGGUCCCAGGGUCCACCUUCAUGUUCCACCAAUGAGUUUGUUCACAGGGGGUGGAGUAUGUAGGGGAUGUCCUGAUUUGUGUGUAAGGAAUGCAUUGUGUGAAUCUGUGUUUGUAUGUGUAAGGGCUGCAAGGUGUGUUUCUGUGUAUGUAAGGGAUGAAGUGUGUGAGUCUGUAAGGGGUGCAUUGAGUGUGUGUAGGGAAUGCAUUGUGUGUUUCUGUGUGUGCAAG